rnacentral:RNase_P_RNA from 1 species
AGGGCGGGGUGUCUGAUCGCGGUGGCCACAGAGGGCCGCUGAGGAAAGUCCGGGCUCCGCAGGGCAGGGUGCCAGCUAACAGCUGGGCGCGUAAGGCGACGGCACGUGCAACAGAAAGCAGACCGCCGGUCGGAAGCCUGCAGGCGCCGAAUCGGUAAGGGUGAAACGGUGCGGUAAGAGCGCACCAGUGCCGGUGGAGACAGCGGCAGCUAGGUAAACCCCACCCGGUGCAAGGUCCGAAUCGGAGAGAGAGUCGGCCCGGCUCGAUUAUAUCUCCAAAGCGACCGCUUGAGACCUGUGGCGACGCAGGUCCCAGAUAGAUGAUCAGAGCCCACGGUGUGGGUCCAGAAUCCGGCUUACAGCCCCACCUGCGAC